UCAUGGGCAUCUAUGGCAUUCCCGCAGGCCUUGUUCAGGUCUAGGGUAAGACACACACGGGUGAGCCUGCCUUCUUUUGCCACCACCCCAUGGCCCUCCCCUUGGGUAUAAGUGGAGUCCUAAGGUCAAACCCAGGUUCCAGCCCUGGCCGGUAGCGCUAAGUGGUUAGAGCGCCGGUCCAUACACUAAAGGUCACAGGUUUGAUUCCUGGUCAAGUGAAAGUACCUGGGUUGCAUAUUCAUCCCCUGGCACUGGUUGGAGCAUGUGCGGGAGGCAAAAAAAACACCACCACCCA